rnacentral:rRNA from 1 species
AACGAACGCUGGCGGCAUGCCUAACACAUGCAAGUCGAACGAGACCUUCGGGUCUAGUGGCGCACGGGUGCGUAACGCGUGGGAAUCUGCCCUUGGGUUCGGAAUAACAGUGAGAAAUUACUGCUAAUACCGGAUGAUGUCUUCGGACCAAAGAUUUAUCGCCCAGGGAUGAGCCCGCGUAGGAUUAGCUAGUUGGUGGGGUAAUGGCCUACCAAGGCGACGAUCCUUAGCUGGUCUGAGAGGAUGAUCAGCCACACUGGGACUGAGACACGGCCCAGACUCCUACGGGAGGCAGCAGUGGGGAAUAUUGGACAAUGGGCGCAAGCCUGAUCCAGCAAUGCCGCGUGAGUGAUGAAGGCCUUAGGGUUGUAAAGCUCUUUUACCCGGGAUGAUAAUGACAGUACCGGGAGAAUAAGCUCCGGCUAACUCCGUGC